rnacentral:rRNA from 1 species
UACGAAGGGGGCUAGCGUUGUUCGGAUUUACUGGGCGUAAAGCGCACGUAGGCGGAUCGUUAAGUCGGGGGUGAAAUCCUGGAGCUCAACUCCAGAACUGCAUUCGAUACUGGCGAUCUUGAGUCCGGAAGAGGUGAGUGGAACUCCUAGUGUAGAGGUGGAAUUCGUAGAUAUUAGGAAGAACACCAGUGGCGAAGGCGGCUCACUGGUCCGGAACCGACGCUGAGGAGCGAAAGCGUGGGUAGCAAACAGG